UACAGAGGUCUCAAGCGUUGUUCGGAUUCAUUGGGCGUAAAGGGUGCGUAGGCGGCGCGGUAAGUCGGGUGUGAAAUCUCGGAGCUUAACUCCGAAACUGCAUUCGAUACUGCGGUGCUUGAGGACUGGAGAGGAGACUGGAAUUCAUGGUGUAGCAGUGAAAUGCGUAGAGAUCAUGAGGAAGACCAGUGGCGAAGGCGGGUCUCUGGACAGUUUCCUGACACUGAGGCACGAAGGCCAGGGGAGCAAACGGG
rnacentral:rRNA from 1 species